CAGCGAGGAAAUAAAAAUGAAGGAAAUAGAUUUCUGAGAAGAUUUUUAACAGGGUUUCAAAGGAAAUACGCAGUGAUUUUAAAUCUCCCCAGGAAAACGCGAGCGUAGGGGGAAAAAACGUGCAAAAUGAUCCAACGGAUGGCCGCAUUCUAAGCAAAUGGGCCAUGGAUUCAAUCGUCGAUCCGAACUUAGCCGUUGAGUCAUAACGAAUGAAAAAUUGAAAUUUCAAAUUUCAUGGAGCGUGAAAAAGCAUGAUUAUAUAUAACUCUCAGCAUUUGUAGACCAGAGGAUGAAGAGGCAAAGCAGAGGAAAAGGUAGGAAUCAGGAAAUAACAACGGAAUGAGGGCAAAAAUCUUCUUCCAGGUGGAUGUCAUUGUUUUAAGCAGGGAAAAAGUUUGUGGAGUGGGACAUCUUAAUUCUAGGAUUGUCUGUGGGUUGUAGAAACACAGAGAAGCUGCAGUCAUUGAAGUUGACGUGUUUGGUGAGGUUGACACGAAUGAUUACAAAUGGGACCUGGGUGGCAGACAACAAGCUCACACAAUCCUUCUUUGCAACUUACUCAAUGACAGGGUGGCAGCAUGUUGCAGCAAUUGAGCAGCUUUUUGAAUUAGUAGUUUUUCAUCAAGGUGUAUUCAAAACAGCAAGAGAUGGAAUUAGACUUGCAUCAUUUAUUUAGUUAUAUUUUGGUCAAGCAUAUUGACUUGAUAGCAUUGUAACAUGUACAAAUCUGGUGUUUAAUAAAAAAAUUAUUGGAAGGGGUUAAAAACCCCUUCUAAAGGCUGAAGGGAAUAAUCACUGGCCAUGGUUAUUCCUUGAGGUCGUGUU